AGUUUUAAGGCGUUGCACAUGGCGGAUGAGACGACGAUCGCGAACGGUGUCGCUUCAGAGAAUGACGAUCAGACGGCUGAGAGCUUCUACGAUGUUGAUCAGCGCGAGAACGAAGCCAAGCUGAAGCAAAAGAUCGAAGUCUUGGAGAAGGAGAAGUUCCUCCUAGCCAACGAAAACGGGAAAAUAAAAAAUCAGAUGAGGCAAUUAACGGUGGAGAUCGAUUCACUGAGAUCCGGAGAGUUAGAGCUGAAACUGAGGCUGGAAGCAGUGGGUAAAGAGAUGGAACAGUCGGAUGAGAGCAAGAGAGCGUUGGAUUCCAUUGCUAACAGAGCUGUGCAGCUCGAGACGGAGGUCUCUAGGCUUCAACAUGACUUGAUUACGUCGAUGAGCGAAGGUGAGGAGGCGAAUGCUGCAAUUUCUGAGCUGAAGAGUAUAUUGGGAGAAAAGGAAGUGAAGCUUGAGGAGUUGAAGCAAGAGAAAGUGGAGACAGAAAAGAAAGUAAGGGAAUUGGAGAGAAAGAUUGCGGUUUUGGAAGUGAAAGAAAUCGAGGAAAGGAGUAGGAGGGUGAGGAUUGAGGAGGAGAUGAGGGAGAAAUUAGCUGAAAAAGAGAAGGAGACGUUUCAGUAUAAGAAUAAAUUCCUGGAGCUGGAGAAUGAGGUGGCAAAGAAGGAGGGAUGGGAGGAUAAAUUGAAGGCGUCGGAGGAGAAGGUGAGAGACAUGGAAGAAAAGAUGGCAAAGUUACAGAAGGAUGCGGAGGAAGCGCGAAAGGUGGUUGGUGGAUUAAAGAAGAGAACUGUAGAUGCUAUUAAUGGCAUUCGAGUUGAUAGCUUAGAUAACGAGUCUAAGGGGCUGAAGAUGCAAUGGCCGGUUCUGGCUGUGGGAUCAACAGGUGCUAUAGCUGUCGCAGCUGCUGUGGUUUAUGUCUGCUAUGCUAGGCGGGCGUAAUUCAAGAGUUUAGGGUUUGUUCGAUACCCUAUUUUAA
rnacentral:misc_RNA from 1 species